CGUCACCUUUUCACUUGUUCUGUCUUAAUCCCUCCCUCCAGGUUUGGUCUUUUUUGGCAUCCCCAGGUCUACAGAUGAGCAGCGAGGCAUUCCUAAUGCUAACACUCGUCUUCACUUCCAUCUUAGCGAGUUACUGGAACCAGGAAGUCCCAUUUUGGCCAAAUGGGCCGGAGCGUCCGAAGACCUGAGUUGAGAUGAGCAAGUAUCAAACAGGAUAGACAGCGUCAAAUCAUCUUAUCUGAAGCGCUUAUCUAAUGAAACUGAUUAGAUAUUGAGUGAGGUGUGAAGUAAUUUUAGUGGCAGUACAGCUGCAUUCAAAGACUGCGAUUGGUGACAAGAAAAACUUUAUGUUUACCCCAGAACUUAAUGAAUACAUGAAGAUACAAACUACAUUUCCCUCCAUUAAGUAAGUGGCGGCGUUCCCCUUUAAAGACUUGAAAUCAGCUUUAAUCUGAGACGUGGUGUGUGUGGCUGCAGGUUUCUGAGCCCGAUGCAGUUAGUGUAAGCUGAACCACUGAGUUUGUGUUGCUCUGUCACACUGCUGUUGUUAUGAUGGUUACAGCUCGCCAGUUGGGCAACGGCCAACGAGACUGAACCUGAUCAUCAUAUCUGCAUUCACAUCCACUCUCUAAGUGCGUAGUCUAAAGUUUGUUUUAGCUGCAAAGUAGAUUUAAUGGCUGAAAGAGUUUAUUGCAAGUUUUCUUGGAGUCAUUAUGUUGUGGCCGUUAGAGGAACUGCAGCUUAAGACACUGGCUGCACUUGAUGCCAAUGAAGAGUCUGAAACUGGGAUCAUCAAUCUGUUGCUCACAAUCGACGUUUGUGGAGUUCCAAGUCUGUGACAAAGGUUUUUGGUUGAAAGUGUUUUUUCAGAUUUAAGGAACCAUCUUGCUGCCCAUCAGCUGACUCUUCAGUAACUUUGCUUUUGAACACACAAGCAGCGUCCUGUCAUAUUUCGAUCUGUCCAGAGUCGUAGCCAAAAACGGCCUUCAAUGUUCAGACAACAGAUUGAAACACAGAAGAAGAGGAUGUGGAAGAAGGAGUGUGUUAGGAUGUGAAGAGAAUGGGGUGAGGUGAGAAAGGAGGGAUGGAAUUAGACGAAGAGAGAAGGGGACUCCCCGCCAUCUAAAAUCCCUCCACCAGCUGCUGCCUAUAUUUAUCCUGCCGUCACUUCUAUAUUUAACUCCGCCUCCCGGGAGAAGACAUGAAUGCCUCAGCAGCCACCAGGAGCGCUUGGUUUUCAUUCCUCCUUCACUGAAGUUUCCUUGGAGCAGCAUCUUGUGGACGUUUGAGGAACUGCAUCUUCCCACACCUCAGCAGCUUGCCCGUCUCCAGGUGGCCGAGAAACUGGAGCAGCUACAUCAUCCUGGAGGACGUUCCUGACGGGAAGUGGCCGAGGUGCUGCUUCUGUCUCCGUCCACGCUUCGUCUUGUUGCACCUCCUGCAGGACAUGACAGGAAGUACACGUCAACAACCUGCAGCAGCAGCAAAAUCAGAUGUCCGUGGGAAAAAGCAAAACAGUUAAAGAAACAAGCAUUUUCCUGGGGAUGGAUCUGAGACAACACCGCAUGCAUCACCCUGAUAUGUACCCUGAGACAGAAUGGUACGUUAAAGAAUAAACUGGCUAAAUGUUGAGAAGAAACUGGGAAUAAACACAUUACCAUUAAUCCUAACUUCGAUGAGACCCAAAAAUGGUCUCAGCCCUUUUGAAGUAUUGUUUGGAAGACUAUUAAACACAGGAGUUUGUGGGCCAGCUCCCAACCACAGACAGUGUAGUGAUGAAAUGUUGAGCUAUUGUGUAACUUUGUCCUCUGCUCCACACACACAGGUGGGAGCUGCCUUGCUCCAAGGACAGAAAGGACAACGCCACAACCUGAAACCUGGAGAGAGUCGGCUGUGGUAAAGAAGGAAGCACUGGAGGAACUCAAGGACAGUUCUUGAUCCUCCGGACAACAGAAGUAAAGGUUGGAGAUGAAUACUUGGACUACCCAUCCCUAAAGAGCAACCUCACUAACCAAUGGUUAGCUCCACCUUUGUCACAGAAGGAGGAAUCAUUACAGCAUGCAGAGACAGACCAGGAAUAGAAGAAGCUGACAGACACUCCCCUGAGUGGUCCAAAAGCCCACUGGGAGUACGUGAUGCACACUGGUUCUCUGCACUGCUGACAACACGCACAUAUAGGUUCAAAAGAGGAGCUUCUCAUACAACGCACACAUACCCAAGUGAGGGAAGCUUAAUCAGGGUGGAAAGAAUUCCAGCCAACGAGGAUGAAUAAGCAAUUCAAUCUGGACUCCCUGACAGAGGUGCUGAAAGAAAUGUAGGCUGAGGAUGUUCACGCAUCAAUUGCUUUGACUGGCUGUAAAGAUGGCAAGGUGCACUGAUGAAACGCACAGCCUAGCCUGUUGGACGAACUCCCAUUCCAGGACAAUGAGAUUGAUUCCUGUGUAGUGUGAUUAUAAUUCUUACAGACAUGUAAGCAUGAACGUUAAAUCAGCAGAAUUAACAUGUAUUAGUAUUUUAUGUAAACAUUUCUGUUGAAUCUGACAUUGUCAUAUUCAUUGUGCAAUUUAAUUGCCUUCAGGAAACGGUAGCUGUGUUCUUUCAUGCACAAUAUGCACUUUUAAAGAUUUGUACUUUUUAAAGCACUAUUAACAUUGUGUGAAUAAGUAUUAAAUUUCUUGUCCUCC